rnacentral:rRNA from 1 species
UGCCAGCCGCCGCGGUAAUACGGGGGAUGCAAGCGUUAUCCGGAAUCAUUGGGCGUAAAGCGCCUGUAGGUUGUUUAAUAAGUCAGAGGUGAAAUCCCAGGGCUCAACCCUGGAACUGCCUUUAAAACUGUUAGUCUUGAGAUCGAGAGAGGUGAGUGGAAUUCCAAGUGUAGAGGUGAAAUUCGUAGAUAUUUGGAGGAACACCAGUGGCGAAGGCGGCUCACUGGCUCGAUACUGACGCUGAGGUACGAAAGUGUGGGGAGCAAACAGGAUUAGAUA